rnacentral:lncRNA from 1 species
AAAACAGGGUCUGUCACCUUCCAGGGCACACUGGGGCUGAGGGACCACCUACAGCAGGGAGAGAUGGGACAGGCCAUUUUCCUGUUUAACAUGGAAGAAAAGAACAAUGAAAAUAUGGAACUGAAGCACGCUCAAUGUUUGUAA